UAAACACUAUAGCAUCUCCCUUACACUGAGAAGUACCCCGUGGAAUUCGGGUAGUC
rnacentral:tRNA from 1 species